CCAUGUCUGAGGGGGCUUUUCUAAAGCCCUCACCCCCCAAAACCCCCCUGAAAUGGGCUGAGAUUGAAUUAGGGCCGGGUUGGCCCCUAGCCCCCAUUGUUUGUGCCAUGAUGAAGCAUUUCCAUUCUUUAUGAAACAAACGCUUUGUCUACGAGUUCAGGUCGCCUGCGGCAUCAACCUCCUGCGACAUCAACCUCAGAGAUUUCCAGAACUGCAAAACCCAAUUCGGCCCUUCUCUCAAUCACCCUUACGAGCUCAAAAUUUCUCAGAACUGCAAAACAUUUUGGAGUGUCACGGGGCAAUCAAGCCUAGGGUUCUCAUUCCUCUUUUCUGUGCUUGCUUUGUGAGGAAGGAACGAAUUCAGGUAUGAGGAGCUAAACCUUGUCUCGAUCGAAUUUAUUGGUUAUAUGAGUAUUAAGUGAUGUUGUGUGUUUCUGGUUGAAAUUUUUGAAUGCUAAAUGUGAUUACCUUGUUGUUUAUAUGUUGGUGUAAUGACAAAUUGGAUUCAAUAUUGUGAACUAGGACACGUUAGACAUUUUAGCAUGAUGGUUGAAAUUUUUGAAUGCUAAAAUGUGAUUACCCUUGUUGUUUACAUGUUGUUUAUAUAUUUAUUUGUUUUUCUACUUCCAUUUCAUAUCCCCUUUGUUAAAAUUUUCAACAGUAUAAAUAAAGGAUAAUGUUUUGGAUUAAAAAAAUGUGAGAGUAACAAGCUAAUCAUCUUUGGAUUCCUAAAAGUUGGAUGGGUAAAGAGAGACGAUUGAUUUGUAAGUUUCCUCUGCACUUGUUUAGUACUGGAAUCUGAUGCAUGUUAAAUUGCGGUUGUAAUGUGUUUUGGAGAAAAGAGGUUAUGUGUUUGAGGCUUUGACUGUGGCUGGUUUUUGGGUUUUUCUAAAGAAAAUAAUUUGUAUUUUUAAAGGGUUUUACAAACUGUGCAAUUACUUUCUUUUAGUGAACAUGACAAUUUGUAUGUAUAGAAGCUAAAUUUUCAUCUCUCUUAGGAAUAUGACUUUUUCAUUUCAUAGAAUGAAUAUAUGUUUUAGUUUCUCACAACAAGAAGUCAUUGAUAAUUUUAAAACUAUUUUGAUAAAAAUAGCAUAAUUAUACAUGGCCCACAUUUUAUUCAGUUUCAAGUUCCAUCUAUAAUCAAAUUUUUCUACAAUUUGAAAAAUUGAAAAUGUUUAUUUAUUAUUAUUGGAAAGUUGUUGUAAAUCCUACCUAACUAAUUUGCAUUUUAUUUUGUAAUGUACGUGAACCUUGUAAUUUUAUUUGUACAAUGUCUCCUACUAAUUCAAUUGUAGCUACUGACACAACAAUAUAAUAUGAUUAAAGCAUUUAUUUCUUAGAACCUUGGAUACAUGUGGUUUUGAUUCUACAGGUCAAAAAUACAUUUUAGUCCUCAAAUUUUGAAAUUAGGUUUAAAAUAAUUUUUUUACUCGUUCCGGUCAUUGUUUAUAUCAAUUACCAUUGUGUAUAUUGAAAUGAUUUUAACAGUGAUUUUGUAACCUUUAAACUUAUUUGGUUCAUAUUUAAUAACAAGAUUUUGAUCUAUUAUUUAAUAACAUUGGUAAGUGUAUAUGUUAUUAUUUUAAAAAUUACUUUACAUUAAAUUAUUAAUUCUAAACUAGUUUUUUUAUUGUAUUUCAAUUGUUUGUGAUAAAUUUGUUGACCAUAGCGUUGUUUAAAAGGACCAUUCUCUUUAAUCAUGUUUAUCCUGAAUUUGUGUUGAAUGGUUUAGAAAUGAAAUGAGUUUAUUUAUCUGGAAAUAUUAUCUUCCUUGUGGAAUAAUUGUGCUUUCAAAAUUAUCUGGAAAACUAUUAUUUGUGUUCCUUAUUCACUUUCUUCUUACACUUUGGUCUCAUUCUUAGUUUUGGAUUUUUUUUUGUGUAGCCCAUUGUUUACAACUUGUACACCUCGAGUUGAGUAGUCUGCACUUUUCAAAAUGUGUAACUUUACGCUUUCUAUGUAGAGGAUUUAAGCUCAUGAUCUGUCCUUGUGCAUUAGUACUAAAAAAUUCAGUUGAUCAUUCUUCGUUUUUUUUAAGGUCUCUUUUUUGUUGUGCAUGGUGAAAUAUGGUUCAACAAUUAUUUAACUUUUUGUGCUAUGAUAAUAGUCAUAUGUAUAUUUGACUAAUUAUAAGCUUUGGAUUGUUUGGUGUAAUUUAAUGAAAUCAUUAGUGUCAUAUUUGUUUGUAGGUGACUCAUGCAAAGAUCUCUUACAUAACUAGUUUGUCUUAACUAUUUUAACUUUGAUAUCCCUAGAUUCUAUGCAUAAGAACCUGUUAUAUUUUUGAACUUGCCCAAAACCAAUAAUUAAAGUAGCUACUAAUAGAUCAAGAAACAAGUAGAAUAUAUACACAUCUCUAAUAGCUGCUGAAAUAAGAGCAGAUACAUAUUGGACAAACUGAAGAAUGGUUUUAUAGUUUGAGGGGAAAUGCCUUUUUCUCAUCCCAGCUAUGGCUAAUCGGUUUUAAGUUUAACAGGUUGUUUUCUGGGUCACGUCUUUCCCUUUUCAAAAGUAGUUUUCCUGACCUAACAAUAUCUUUAUUGAAGACCUACUAAAAGUAUUGUUAAUUUAUAUAUGCAGUUGUGUGCAAUAGCUUUUAAAUAUGGACCACCAUAAGAGUAACCUUUUGAUUUUGGUUGAUGAUCUUGCAUCUGAAACUCCUCGUCCAUCUGAGAGUGCUACCACCAAUAAAAAGGAAAUCUCAAAUGUUUAGAAUUUUUUCACAAAAAUAGGAAAAGAUGAGGAUGGCAUUGAAAAGGCUGCAUGUAAGUAUUGUGGUAAUAGCUACAAAGUUGGAAAAAACCUAGUUACUAAAAACAAUUAUGGAACUUCACAUUUAAGUUGACAUGUCCAUGUGUGUAGAAGUAUUGCAAACUUAGAUGUGGAUCUGAAUCAAGAAGGAAAGUUUGGGACAUGAAAAAUCAAUCAAAAGAUUCAUCGGAAGUUACUUGCGAGAGCCAUAAUUAAACAUAGCCUUCCUGAUAAUUUUAUUGAAUAUGAAGGAAUUAGAGAGUGAAUAAAAUACAUUAAUCCUAAUGUUGACAUGAAAUGUAGGAACACUACUGUAUCAGAUAUGGAAAAGGAAUACAUUGAACAAAAGGAUAAAGUUAAGCAAAUCAUGUCUAGGAUUCCUAAUAGAAUUUGUUUAACCUCUGAUGUUUGGACUACAGUUACUUCUGAGGGAUAUAUUUGCCUAACUGCACACUUUGUUGAUGAAAACUGGAAAUUGACAAGUAAGAUUCUUAACUUCUGUCGAAUGAAACCAUCACAUACAGGUGUUGAACUAGAAAGUGUUGUGUUUGAUUGCCUAAAGCAAUAGGGUAUUGAUAAGAAAAUUUUCUCAAUUACCCUAAACAAUGCUUCUGCCAAUAAUAAUUUGCAAGACAUUCUGAAAAGCCAUCUUUGUGUUCACAGAAAUUUAUUAUGUGAUGGUGAGUUUUUCCAUGUACGAUGUUGUGCUCAUACUCUUAAUUUGAUAGUUCAAGAUGGUUUAAAGGUGAUUGACAAAGCACUCCAUAGUAUUAGAGAAAGUAUUAAGUAUGUUAAAUCAUCAGAUGGAAGAACUCUCAAAUUCAAAGAAUGUGUUAGUGAUGCUGGCAUAAAUAUGAGCAUGGGUUUGAGAUUAGAUGUGACUACAAGAUGGAAUUCAACCUAUUUAAUGCUUGAAAGUGCAAUCAAUUAUAAGGAAGCUUUUGAAAUUCUCAAAGUGGUUGAUAGAAAUUAUAAAAAUUGUCCAUCAUCUGAGGAAUGGAAUAGGGGAGAGAAAAUAUGUCAAUUCUUAGAACCAUUUUAUGAGAUUACAAACAUGAUGUCUGGAUCAUCUUAUCCCACUUCAAACUUGUAUUUUAUGCAAAUUUGGAAAAUUCAGCUCAUCAUUAAAGAAAAUUUGUUGAAUGAAGAUGUCACCUUAAAGGACAUGGCUUAUAAUAUGAAAGAAAAGUUUCAAAAAUAUUGGAAGGAGUAUAGUAUUGGGUUAGGUUUUGGAUCUAUUCUUGAUCCACGACUAAAGGUUGAUUUUAUAACACAUUGUUAUAAAAAAUUGGAUCCUCUAACCUAUGCAGAGAAAACAAAGGAAGUGUUAGAGAAGUUCAAGAGGUUAUUUAAAGAAUAAGUAAAGAACUUUUCUACCUCUAGUGUUUCUCUUUCCCAAUCACCUACUAAAUCCAUCUUGAUGUUUGAGUCCAAUACUAAAGGGAAAAAGUUUAAGAGAUCAAGAAUUAUUUCGGUAAGCGUUUUAUAUCUAGUGUUCAAUUUUUUUUCCAGUUUUUCUAGUUUUGUUUUGAUAAUUAAUAUGUAAUCAUUGUAGGAUUUUAAAAUGUAUCAGAAUGAGUCAAAAUCUAUCAUUGGAAAGAACGACAUAGAUGUUUAUUUAGAUGAACCAACAAUAAAUGAUGAUGAAGACAGUGAAGAUUUUGAUGUGCUCAAAUAUUGGAAGACUAUAAUGAGAAAAACUUUUCCAUAUUGUCUAUAAUGGCUCGAGAUGUGUUUAGUAUUCCCAUUACUACAGUGGCAUCAGAGUCAACUUUUAGUAAAGGUGGACGUGUACUUUCGAAAUAUAGAAGCUCCAUUCUUCCUGAGCAUGUGCAAAUGUUGAUUUGUACUCAAAAUUGGCUAUAUGGAUUUUCUGAAAAUCCUAGUGAUGAAAUUGUUGAAGAUAUUUUUUUUGGUCAUGAGGGAAUUGAUGAGUCUAAACUUUUAGAAGAUGUUGAAAGUCUUCAACAUUGUGGACAGUGAAAGUGAUCACAGGCUUGUCAUAACAAAGGGCCCAGAGCUACUGAAGAUUCGAACUUGUUAGGAAAGAAAUAUGCAAGGAAAUUGAAGAAGUGAAUACAGAUGAAGAACCUCAAGGAUUUCACUUUAGGUUUGUCAAUGUAACUUUUGAUCUUUGAUACAGUUUUAGCUACAUGUUUCAGUUGUCCAUUCAUGGAUUAUGGAAUCUUUUUUUUCUAUUUUCUGUCGUUCGAUCUUCUUUUGGUGUGGCAGGAUGAAUGUAAGAAGGUAUGUUGCCACUUCCCAGUUUGGUGAUAUCACCUCAUAUAUUUUGGCAUUAAACUUCAUUUGUAACCUCAUAUAUAUUCCCUUGAAGCUUGAAGUGUUAUGGAUCUUGUUACUAAUAUUAGAGCAUGAAAUUUGUAGGUUGUAAUAUGAACAAGACUUCAAGCUCGUCGGAGUCUCUUUAAUGCAAAAGAUUUUGUAAAAUACACAUGAUUUGUGAUUACUUGUAUGAUGAUAUUAUGUUUCUGAACGUUAAAUUUUGUAAAAAGGAAAGCCCAUGGGCUAGCCCUGGCCUAUAGGACUUUAGGGGUUUUUAGCCCUGUGAGUUUUUUUAAUGAAGAGUUUUAUUGGUC